rnacentral:rRNA from 1 species
CAGCACCUCAAGUGGUCAGGAUGAUUAUUGGGCCUAAAGCAUCCGUAGCCGGCGCUGUAAGUUUUCGGUUAAAUCUGUACGCUCAACGUACAGGCUGCCGGGAAUACUGCAGCGCUAGGGAGUGGGAGAGGUAGACGGUACUCGGUAGGAAGGGGUAAAAUCCUUUGAUCUAUUGAUGACCACCUGUGGCGAAGGCGGUCUACCAGAACACGUCCGACGGUGAGGGAUUAAAGCUGGGGGAGCAAACCGGAUUAGAUACCCGAGUAGUCC